GCGAACGUUGUUCGGAAUCACUGGGCUUAAAGGGCGCGUAGGCGGGCUGUCAAGUCUGGGGUGAAAUCCCGCGGCUCAACCGUGGAACUGCCUCAGAUACUGACGGCCUCGAGGGAGGUAGGGGCGAGCGGAACUGUGAGUGGAGCGGUGAAAUGCGUUGAUAUUCACAGGAACUCCGGUGGCGAAGGCGGCUCGCUGGACCUUUUCUGACGCUGAGGCGCGAAAGCUAGGGGAGCAAACGGG
rnacentral:rRNA from 1 species